GGGUUCCAUUAUGUUCAAAUAAAAAACUUUAGGUGUAAUCAGAUUACUAGACCUAAUUUGAUUUACCCAUGCCCAAUCCCUCAUUCAUAAACUUAAAUUUUAGAUCUAAAUUCUAAAUUUUAGAUCUAAAUUAUUUACAUGAAAUAAAAUAUUGUGAUUUCGAAACUACUUUUCAGACCUAAACAAUCAUUCAUAUAUCUCAUAUAUGAUUAAAAUCAGAUCUAAAAAAUGU
rnacentral:lncRNA from 1 species